CUGAAUAACUGAGCAGAUCGCUUCGGUCUUUGUACCGGCGACCUAUCUUUCAAGUGUCUGCCUUAUCAACUUUCGAUGGUAGUUUAUGUGCCUACCAUGGUUGUAACGGGUAACGGAGAAUCAGGGUUCGACUCCGGAGAGGGAGCCUGAGAAACGGCUACCACUUCUAAGGAAGGCAGCAGGCGCGCAAAUUACCCACUCUCGGCACGAGGAGGUAGUGACGAAAAAUAACGAGACGGUUCUCUUUUGAGUACCGUCAUCGGAAUGAGAACAAUCUAAACCCUUUAACGAGGACCUAGCGGAGGGCAAGUCUGGUGCCAGCAGCCGCGGUAAUUCCAGCUCCGCCAGUGUAUAUCUAUGCUGCUGCGGUUAAAAAG
rnacentral:rRNA from 1 species